rnacentral:rRNA from 1 species
GGGAACUGCGUUNUGAACUGGGUGACUAGAGUGUGUCAGAGGGAGGUAGAAUUCCACGUGUAGCAGUGAAAUGCGUAGAGAUGUGGAGGAAUACCGAUGGCGAAGGCAGCCUCNUGGGAUAACACUGACGUUCAUGCCCGAAAGCGUGGGUAGCAAACAGGAUUAGAUACCCUGGUAGUNCACGCCCUAAACGAUGUCGAUUAGCUGUUGGGCAGCAUGACUGCUUAGUAGCGAAGCUAACGCGUGAAAUCGACCGCCUGGGGAGUACGGUCGCAAGAUUAAAACUCAAAGGAAUUGACGGGGACCCGCACAAGCGGUGGAUGAUGUGGAUUAAUUCGAUGCAACGCGAAGAACCUUACCUGGUCUUGACAUGUGCGGAACCCUCCAGAGACGGAGGGGUGCCUUCGGGAGCCGUAACACAGGUGCUGCAUGGCUGUCGUCAGCUCGUGUCGUGAGAUGUUGGGUUAAGUCCCGCAACGAGCGCAACCCUUGUCAUUAGUUGCCAUCAUUAAGUUGGGCACUCUAAUGAGACUGCCGGUGACAAGCCGGAGGAAGGUGGGGAUGACGUCAAGUCCUUAUGGCCCUUAUGACCAGGGCUUCACACGUCAUACAAUGGUCGGUACAGAGGGUAGCCAAGCCGCGAGGUGGAGCCAAUCUCACAAAACCGAUCGUAGUCCGGAUUGCACUCUGCAACUCGAGUGCAUGAAGUCGGAAUCGCUAGUAAUCGCAGGUCAGCAUACUGCGGUGAAUACGUUCCCGGGUCUUGUACACACCGCCCGUCACACCAUGGGAGUGGGGGAUACCAGAAGUAGGUAGGG